UGGGUACCACACAGUGUCAUUACGUAA
rnacentral:piRNA from 1 species